GGGGAAUUUUUCGCAAUGGGCGCAAGCCUGACGAAGCAACGCCGCGUAGAGGAUGAAGGCCCUCGCGGUCGUAAACUCUUGUCUAGCGGGACGAAACUUUUACAGAUGAAUAAUCUGUGAGAUUGACUGUACCGCUGGAGGAAGCUCCGGCCAACUCCGUGCCAGCAGCCGCGGUAAUACGGAGGGGGCUAGCGUUGUUCGGAAUUACUGGGCGUAAAGGGCGUGUAGGCGGCUUGCCAAGUCAGGCGUGAAAGCCCCGGGCUUAACCUGGGAACUGCGUUUGAGACUGGCAGGCUAGAGGUUGGAAGAGGAGAGUGGAAUUCCCAGUGUAGAGGUGAAAUUCGUAGAUAUUGGGAAGAACACCGGUGGCGAAGGCGGCUCUCUGGUCCACACCUGACGCUGAGGCGCGAAAGCGUGGGGAGCAA
rnacentral:rRNA from 1 species